rnacentral:sRNA from 1 species
CGCUUUCCUCUCUUGGUCAUUUAGAGGAAGAAAAGUGGUAACAAGGCUCGGUAUGAGGACCUGUGGAAAAUCCUUUGGCCAAUUGAGGUAUGAUACGGUCGCAGCUUUUCCAGAGCAAACAACGCAUGGGUCCUGUCGCAUAUAAACCAUAUCACCCCUUUGUUCAUCAACGCGUAUGGACACCAUUUUGGCUAGUUGUUGUUGGGGUUUAUCAGGAAAUACAUGCAGGGUCAUUUUAAGUCCUUAACCUUCAUGUUCUACUUUUCGCGAUCACACGGAAAAAAUACAGCUUUCAACAACGGAUCUCCUUUCUCUAGCACCGAUGAAGAAAGCAGCGAAAUGCGAUACGUAAUGUGAAUUGCAGAAUUCAGUGAAUCAUCGAAUCUUUGAACGCACCUUGCGCCCUUUGGUAUUCCGAAGGGCACACCCGUUUGAGUGUCGUGACAUUCUCAAAACCUUCUUGGUUUCUUGACCGGGAAGGCUUUGGUCUCUGGAGGUUCUUGCUGGCCUUUCUUUAUUGAAGCCAGCUCCUCUGAAAUGCAUUAGUGGGAUCUGCUUUGCCGAUCCUUGUCGUCUAAAUAUUUUUACGUCUUGGGUCUUGCACUGUUUGAUGGCUCCUACUUCUAACCGUAUCAUAGAAGACAAUGGCCACUUGGCCUACAAACCUGACCUCAA